rnacentral:lncRNA from 1 species
GCCAUUUUUUCAAUCUUUUUGUAGGCUUCUGUUCUGGAUCUGGAGCCCAGGUGUCUGUGCUAUGCAGAAUCUGAAAACAAACCACAGGGAGAACGCUGAGAACCCUGAGAGCCAGGAAAUGUUUUCGGCAGACACAAAAUCUUUGUUUGUAUGUGGUGCUGAGGAUCGAACCCGGGCUGCACGCAUGCCAGGAACUGUUAACAUUUAUGGAUAUAGCCAUUGAUUUUACUGAAGAGGAGUGGGAAUGCCUUCAGCCUGCUCAGAAAAAUUUAUAUAGAGAUGUGAUGCUAGAGAAUUAUAGAAACUUUGCCUUCCUGGAGAGAAGCUUCACUGAAUCAUCACUUUUUUAUCAAGAGGAAUAGAUCUUAUAUGUAUAAAUUGCACAGGAUGGUGACCUAUUAAAU